rnacentral:rRNA from 1 species
GACGAACGCUGGCGGCGUGCUUAACACAUGCAAGUCGAACGGAAAGGCCCUGCUUUUGUGGGGUGCUCGAGUGGCGAACGGGUGAGUAACACGUGAGUAACCUGCCCUUGACUUUGGGAUAACUUCAGGAAACUGGGGCUAAUACCGGAUAGGAGCUCCUGCUGCAUGGUGGGGGUUGGAAAGUUUCGGCGGUUGGGGAUGGACUCGCGGCUUAUCAGCUUGUUGGUGGGGUAGUGGCUUACCUAGGCUUUGACGGGUAGCCGGCCUGAGAGGGUGACCGGCCACAUUGGGACUGAGAUACGGCCCAGACUCCUACGGGAGGCAGCAGUGGGGAAUAUUGCACAAUGGGCGGAAGCCUGAUGCAACAACGCCGCGUGCGGGAUGACGGCCUUCGGGUUGUAAACCGCUUUCGCCUGUGACGAAGCGUGAGUGACGGUAAUGGGUAAAGAAGCACCGGCUAACUACGUG